rnacentral:rRNA from 1 species
UACGGGAGGCAGCAGUGGGGAAUAUUGCACAAUGGGCGGAAGCCUGAUGCAGCAACGCCGCGUGCGGGAUGACGGCCUUCGGGUUGUAAACCGCUUUCGCCUGUGACGAAGCGUGAGUGACGGUAAUGGGUAAAGAAGCACCGGCUAACUACGUGCCAGCAGCCGCGGUGAUACGUAGGGUGCGAGCGUUGUCCGGAUUUAUUGGGCGUAAAGGGCUCGUAGGUGGUUGAUCGCGUCGGAAGUGUAAUCUUGGGUCUUAACCCUGAGCGUGCUUUCGAUACGGGUUGACUUGAGGAAGGUAGGGGAGAAUGGAAUUCCUGGUGGAGCGGUGGAAUGCGCAGAUAUCAGGAGGAACACCAGUGGCGAAGGCGGUUCUCUGGGCCUUUCCUGACGCUGAGGAGCGAAAGCGUGGGGAGCGAACAGGAUUAGAUACCCUGGUAGUCCACGCUGUAAACGGUGGGUACUAGGUGUGGGGUCCAUUCCACGGGUUCCGUGCCGUAGCUAACGCUUUAAGUACCCCGCCUGGGGAGUACGGCCGCAAGGCUAAAACUCAAAGGAAUUGACGGGGCCCCGCACAAGCGGCGGAGCAUGCGGAUUAAUUCGAUGCAACGCGUAGAACCUUACCUGGGUUUGACAUGGAUCGGGAGUGCUCAGAGAUGGGUGUGCCUCUUUUGGGGUCGGUUCACAGGUGGUGCAUGGCUGUCGUCAGCUCGUGUCGU